rnacentral:rRNA from 1 species
UUCGGGCGGGCUAUACAUGCAGUCGAACGGGAUUGGGACUUCGGUUCCAUGAGAGUGGCGAACGGGUGCGUAACGCGUAUGCAACCUACCUUCAUCAGGGGGAUAGCCCGGAGAAAUUCGGAUUAAUACCGCAUAAAAACACAGUACGGCAUCGUACAAUGUUCAAAUAUUCAUAGGAUGAAGAUGGGCAUGCGUGUCAUUAGCUAGUUGGUAAGGUAACGGCUUACCAAGGCGACGAUGACUAGGGGAUCUGAGAGGAUGACCCCCCACACUGGUACUGAGACACGGACCAGACUCCUACGGGAGGCAGCAGUAAGGAAUAUUGGUCAAUGGAGGGAACUCUGAACCAGCCAUGCCGCGUGCAGGAAGACGGCCCUAUGGGUUGUAAACUGCUUUUGUACGGGAAUAAACCUAUCUACGUGUAGAUAGCUGAAUGUACCGUAAGAAUAAGGAUCGGCUAACUCCGUGCCAGCAGCCGCGGUAAUACGGAGGAUCCAAGCGUUAUCCGGAUUUAUUGGGUUUAAAGGGAGCGUAGGCGGCCAUUUAAGUCAGAGGUGAAAACUUGCAGCUCAACUGUAAGCUUGCCUUUGAUACUGAGUGGCUUGAAUGAACUUGAGGUAGGCGGAAUGUGACAAGUAGCGGUGAAAUGCAUAGAUAUGUCACAGAACACCAAUUGCGAAGGCAGCUUACUAAGGUUUAAUUGACGCUGAGGCUCGAAAGCGUGGGGGAUCAAACAGGAUUAGAUACCCUGGUAGUCCACGCCCUAAACGAUGAUAACUCGAUGUUGGCGAUAUAUGGGGAGUACGCCCGCAAGGGUGAACUCAGGGGGUGUGUGUGUGCGGGACAAAUAUAA